AUGUUCCAGAGUCCGCUUUCGACAUACAAUUUCAUCCUGAAAUAUAUUCAAGAGUUGGAAGAAUGCAAGACGAAGAAGAAUCCAAGGGUGGUCGCACGAGCUGAAUUAGUUCAGCCAAGAUGGGUAGCUCCAUCGGAAGGGACAGCAAAACUCCGUGUGGAUGGGGCAGUUUCCAGAGAUGGUAGCUUUGGCUCUUUCAGUGCUGUAUGCAGAAGCUCUUCGGGAUCUUUUUUGGGAGCCUCGGCCAUCAAGAUCGAAGGCAUUUCAGAUCCAGCGACUUUGGAAGCAUUGGCCUGUCGCGAGGCACUUGAUCUUGCUAUGGAUCUUGAUCUUGCUAAAAUCCUCAUAGCAAGUGACUGCCAAGAGGUGGUGAAUGACAUAAAAAACUGCACUGGUGGCGUCUAUGCUAGUACCAUUAGAGAGAUAGUGGAGUCAAAGAAUUCUUUUGAUGAUUGCUCAUUCAUCUUUGAGGGGAGGGCAACGAAUAUUGAGGCACAUAGUCUCGCUAAGCAUGCUUUUGGUUUGGAUUUCGGGCGCCAUGUAUGGCUUUUAAACCCUCCAAACAUCUCUUGUAUCCCUAUGAACAUUUUUGAGUAA
rnacentral:rRNA from 1 species